UUGUUAUUUCAAGCAGGUGAUGAGCCGGUCAUGGCCGAUGGAGAGCUGAGUUUGAUCGAUAAAAACAUUUCAAGUUUAUUAGAGGUUCCACUGAAGACCUCUAUCACGUCUUUAAACCUGCACUGUAAUCGACUGUCAAAGAUCGAAGGGUUGACAACAGCAUGGCACGUACGACAUCUGGACCUUUCGUCAAAUCACAUCGCUCGUAUCGAGGGCCUUGGUGCGCUUUCUCAAUUGCGUACCUUAAACCUGUCUUGCAACAGCAUCACUAAGGUGGAAGGUCUUAAUGGACUUGUAAACCUUACAAGGCUUAACUUGGCUUAUAAUCAAAUAAACGACCUCACUGGUCUCUUAUAUCUGCAUGGGACUGAAUACAAAUUGAAACACCUCCAGAUUCAUAGCAAUCGACUGGACAGCAUGAACCAUCUGCUGCAAUGCAUGGUGGGUUUGCACAACCUGAGAGAUCUCACUCUCAGUAUGGACGGUGCCGAUAAUCCUGUCUGCCGUCUACCAGGCUACAGGGAGAUGGUGCUGCAGCCCUUGCAACAGAUCUCUACUCUGGAUGGAGAAGAUAGGUUGGGAAAACCCACUCCGUCACGGGAUGAGAGCCCAAUGGACAUCCCAGGCCUGGAGGACUUUCUGGAGUUUCUAAUUUCGACAGACACUAGUGUCGACGUCGAGCCGGUCCAGUCAGACGCUCCUCUCCCCACUCCCCGGAUUGACGAGGUUCUGACACAGUUUCGGCAUCGCAGUAGAGUUUUAAACCCACCCGCUGAGUCAUCAGCGCAGGAGUGCUCAAUUAGAGACGAUUCAGCCAAAGGCAACCAGAUAAAUGAGCUCCGUAUUAAAAAGUUGGAGCAGCAGGUGUCCCAACUCUUCCAGAAGGCUCCGGUGGCUGAUGGCCCUAAUGCGAGCUCUGCAUUGCAGUCUGUGGUACGCAAAGCAAAAAGGGACACGGAUCUCACAUCAGAGAGUGAAUAUGACAGUGCGAAAGAGAAUCUGCAGCACUCAAGAGUCCGCCGACCCAAAAUCGCAACAGAGAAGAAGCUGGUAAAAGGCAAACGCUCUGACAGUGAAGCAAGCACACAAAAGCACAGGAGUUUAAAGCUCACUGCUGGCGCUGGGCAGAAGGCAGCAGUCCAAACUGUGAGGCUGACAGAAACAGCAAAGAAAGGCCUCAGAGCACGCCAGGCCACUCCAGACAAAAACUCCAGUGACACACAACAGGAGACCUACAGGGUGAUAGUGGAGGAGCGGGAUCAGGAGCGGGAACGGCGCUGGAAGGCAGAGCAUGCUGUGAAGAAGCUUACAGAGCAGGUGAAGGGGCUGCAAACACGGGCCACAGAGGAGAAAGAACUCCAGAGCCUGGCCUUGCACACAACCGAUAGGCUGAAGGAGUUGUUGCUGAAGGAGCGCUCGGAGCGGACGGCACUGCAGACUCGAGUGGAGGAGCUGGAGGAACGAUGUGCAAAUGCAGCACAACAGCUGGAGCAGCAGCGCAGCCAUGAGGCACAAUACAAGGGUGCACUGCACAGUUUGCAGGAGAGCGUCUCUCAACAAGAGGCCCUCAGGGCCAGUCAGCAGGUGGAGGAGAUGAAGAGAAAGCAGGAGCUGGAGAACAAAUGCGCUGUUCUAAAGAGAGAGGUGGAAAUACUCAGAGCAUCUGUGCGGCAGCAUAAAGAUAAGCUACAGCACCUACAAGAACUGCUGACCUCCAGAGAGGAAGUGCACAGGAAGGAGCUGGCUUCACGGCUCAUUCCAGGUGGCGCCGAGUUUCGUGAAGCUGUGGAGAAGGAAGUGAGGGCUGUGGAGCAGAGACACACUCGGAGACACCGUGAGAUGGAACAGAAACUGGUCGAAGCCCGGCACCAAUAUGCCACCCUGGAGGAUGAGUUCCGCAUGGCUCUCACCAUCGAAGCCAAUCGCUUCUCUGAGGUGAAAGAGGGCUUUGAGCAGGUGUCUGCCGAGCUUGCCGAGGUGAAGAUAGCUUUGAGUGCGUCUCAGCAGAGAGGGAAGCAGUCAGACUCUCUGGUGCAGGAGCUCACAGCUAUGGUGAAGGAGCAGAAAACACGCAUAGCCGAUCUCAUCAAAGCCAAACGCGAUGCUGUAACAGAAUUAAAGGCACGAGUACGGACUCUAGAGGCUGGAGCAGAGGAGGACAGGCGUCUAAAUGUGCAACUGGAACUUUUGAAGAAGGACAAAUCCAAGCUGAUCUCGCAGCUCACUGCACAGGAGACUGUUAUAGAAGGACUCAGAGCGGAGAGAAGGCUCUGGGGACAGGAGCUCGCCCAGCAAGGAGCGUCUCUUGCUCAGGAUCGAGGUCGCUUGGAGGCCAAAAUUGAGGUCCUGACUACUGAGCUGGAGUCCCAGAAGAAACAGAAUCAGAGAGACAACGAUUCACUAAAGAUCAAAACGAAGAUAGUGGAUGAUCAAACCGAGACAAUCCGGAAGCUAAAAGAGGCAGUGCAGGAAAGGGAUGAGCAGCUCCGUGCUCUGCGUGAGGAGAACCUGCAGGUUCAGAGAAAGUUCCAGAAGGAAAUGGAGGGUGAGAUGGCCUCAGCAGCAGAGCUCCGAGAUGCCAUGGACAGACUCCGCCUCAGAAAAGAUGAGCUCAAGCAACAGCUCCUUGACAAGGAGGCGGAGAUGGAGGAGCUCAAAGAAGCCUACAGUGCCUCGAGUCGUAAAUGGCAGGAUAAAGCGGACUUGCUGACCAAACUGGAGUGCCAGGUGAAGCGUAUGAAGGAGGGAUUCGAUGCUAAAGAGAAAGCAUUACUGGAAGAGAGGGAUAAAACCACUCGAGCACACAAGGCAGCGGUCGAAAAACUUCACUGUGUGGACGACGCUUUCCGUAGACAGCUGGAGUCCUUGCAGGCUUCUCAUCAGGCUGAGUUGCUCCGAUUGGCUCAUGACAAACAGAAACAAAUAGAACAGGCCAAUCAGAGGUUUGCGUAAGCAUGUGAGAACACAGCACUCUCUCUAUGACUGUCCAAGAGGUUGCCUCUGUGAAGUACCAGAUAAACUCUAGUGCAGUUUGAGUGCUGUGGAAAGCAGUUCAGCCCUGCCGGAAAUUUUAUUUAUUUAUUUAUUUAUUUAUUAGACACGAACUACCUGUUAGGACAGAGAAGAAGCCUUUAUUUGUCACGUAUACAUUAUAGCACAGUGAAAUUCUUUUCUUCGUGUAUUCCAGCUUGUUUGUUUUUUUUAGGAAGUUUGGGUCAGGGUGCAGGGUCAGCCAUGAUACGGCUCCCCUGGAGCAGAGAGGGUUAAGGGCCUUGCUUAAGGGCCCAACAGUGGCAGCUUUUCGGUGCUGGGGCUUGAACCCCUGACCUUCAAGCUCCGUGUUGGAUCUACAGUGACCCUGACCAGGAUAAAUCUGUUACUUACGAUGAAUGAAUGAAUGAAUAUAUUUAGUCUCUGCACCAUGUUUUCCGUGAUCGGGUGAUUUACUUGAUUUUUACACACAAUUGGCAAAGAUUUAUUUAGCUUUCUGACCAACGAAUGAAAUAGUUUUACGAGUAUGUUUUCAGCAUGCAAAGGCAUGUAUCGAUUUCCCUAUUUGCUUCUCGGCAAAAGUUUUGUUGGCUUUUUGGUUUAUUUAUAUAUGCACAGUGUUAAACCAAAUAGCAGUUAAACGAAAAGUAUACAUUUUGCUGUGCUUCAGACUCAGCAAACAGACUAAUAGGUGUGAAAGUGGCCUAGUCAGCAAGUGGCCAAGUCAGAGUAGGUGUGCCGAUCUGGAGCAGUAUGAUGCAAAACUAAUCCUGAUGCUGCACUCAAAACCUUAAGAUAAUCAUGAAAUGGGAAGUCCAUGUUUAUUUAUUUAAUUUUUUAAAUAAACAUAUUCAGGACCUGUGUGAUCUUACUGUGCAGUGAGAAGACAGGGAAUAGUGUUGUUCUAGAUUGUUCAUUUACAGUACACCAGGUGGAGGAUGAGAUGAGGCAGCUGCUGGAGGAAACCGAGAGCAACAAAAUGGCAAUGGAGGAGAAAAUGAGACGCCUCACCAAUGUGCUUAAAGACUUCUAACCACAUAGUUCUGUUUUUAAAAUAACAUCAUAAAAUAUAUAUAUAAGGACCCCCUCUUGUGUGUUUGAUAUCUGAGGUUCACUCUGUUUGAAAAAGGGUACUAAGCGGUACUUUUCCUCGGCAUUGGGGUGUACUCACGAGAACAGCUUUUUUACCUUUGUGUAUCUUUAUAGCUUUGCUCUAAAAACUCAUUCUGAUCUAUUUAUAUACAACCCCAAUUUCAAAAAAGUUGGGACGCUGUGUAAAAUGUAAAUAAAUGUAAAUAAAAACAGAAUGCAAUGA